rnacentral:rRNA from 1 species
GUUUGGGGCGAGCUACCAUGCAGUCGAGCGGUAACAGGGGGUGCUUGCACCCCGCUGACGAGCGGCGGACGGGUGAGUAAUGCAUAGGAAUCUGCCCAGUAGUGGGGGAUAGCCCGGGGAAACCCGGAUUAAUACCGCAUACGUCCUUCGGGGGAAAGCAGGGGAUCUUCGGACCUUGCGCUAUUGGAUGAGCCUAUGUCGGAUUAGCUAGUUGGUGGGGUAAAGGCCUACCAAGGCGACGAUCCGUAGCUGGUCUGAGAGGAUGAUCAGCCACAUCGGGACUGAGACACGGCCCGAACUCCUACGGGAGGCAGCAGUGGGGAAUAUUGGACAAUGGGGGCAACCCUGAUCCAGCCAUGCCGCGUGUGUGAAGAAGGCUUUCGGGUUGUAAAGCACUUUCAGUGAGGAGGAAAACCUUCUGGUUAAUACCCAUGAGGCUUGACGUUACUCACAGAAGAAGCACCGGCUAACUCCGUGCCAGCAGCCGCGGUAAUACGGAGGGUGCAAGCGUUAAUCGGAAUUACUGGGCGUAAAGCGCGCGUAGGUGGUUUGAUAAGCGAGAUGUGAAAGCCCCGGGCUUAACCUGGGAACGGCAUUUCGAACUGUCAGG